AUUACUUGUGAAGAUCAUGUCCAUCCGAAGGGACUCCAGAAGGGACUUGAAGUAUCCAGCAUCCUCAUUCAUCACAUCCCUGAUCAUCUUUACUCCUCCUUGGCUCAGCAUCCCUUCCUUCAGCAGGUGAAGACAUUUACUUCAAUCCAGGAAGACUGAUUCAUUACCAAGGAUUGGAUUAUCUGGGUAUUUCAAGGAUUAAAUGAGAUGAUGUGUGAAGAGACUGGCAUAGAAUAAUAGCCUUGUUACAAACCCCAAGGCCAGACCCAGAAGGGAGUAUGACUGGGAUCAUGAAAGCAUGGGCUUUGGAACACUGGGUCGGCGCCAGGCAUGAACGCUGCCUACACACUUGCUGAUUGUUCUUGAGACUUGCCCAAAAAGGAAACAGCCUGGGAUAAAAAUAAGGAAAUCUGGACUGUGUCGGUGCAAUCCAUGACAUUUAGGAGUAUGUGAUUGAAACAGAAUAUGUCUUGAGAAAGUAAGGCCAAAGAAAUUCUUGUAGUCUGCACUUAGGAAUAAAAUCUGGACUCAGAGUGGACUCUGCACCUCAGUCCAAUAGAGGCUGCAGGUCUCCUCACCCACUGCACCA